UCCCCUAUUAUGCAAGGAUUGCCAUGUGA
rnacentral:piRNA from 1 species